rnacentral:lncRNA from 1 species
UCCCAAUCGCCCCUCCAUCUUGGGGUCCUUGGGGUGUGUCCUUGACGGGGAUCGUGGGGUACCAUUCUCUUCCUGUCUUUAGCUUCCGGGCCAUGAGUGACUCUGCUCAGCCACAUGGCCCCAGCACAGUAUGCUGCCUCGUACACCCUAAAAGCCACGGGGACAACUGAUAAUGGGCUGGGACCCCCCCCAUGUGUGAGCCCAAAUAACCCUUUCCUCUUCAUAAGCUGAUUAUCUCGCCCUUGUUGCCUUGCUACCUUGUGUGCCCCAUGUUGUUUCUCCUCUGCGAUACCUGUUUGCCGUCCCUGCCUUGGAGCCACCUGAACACGAACUGAAACCUCUGUGAACUAAGAAAGAUUCUGCAGAUUAUGGCUUCUUCACCUGUCAUGAGCCACACAUGACUACUGAGUCCUGGAAAUAUGCUACAGAUCAUUCAUGCUGACUUUUGCAAAGCUCCUGCCCUGGCAGACAAGCCCGAGUGUUGGAAUCUGCAAAGUUGAUGAUUAGUCGAAACAGCCUGGACUUCAUCCACAGGACAUCUUGUAGCACAAUCAAGCACUACUUCAUCAUGCCUGGUGACAGGACUCUUCCCGUUAAAUCUCCAUCAGGAGCAGGGAGCCAGUGAACAGCUCAGCAGCUAAUUAGACAAGGCAACAUACAAGGCUGGUACAUGCUGACUUCAAUAGGCUGCAGUGGUGGACCUGUCAGACAGAUCUGUCUUGGCCCCUGUGCUUUCUACCCAUUACUGUACUAGUUGAACAUUAACACUCAGAAAUCUGCUGAUUUUCCCCAAUAUCCUGGCCCAUGCAGAGAAGGAGCUGAAAAGGAACUGUAUGUCUUAAAGAUAGUUCCAUGCUUCAUUAUCCCCAAAAGCAUCAAUCUUCAACUCAUUGUUAAAGAAGUAUCACAGAAUGUGGAGAUGUAGACAGGAUGGGUAAAAAUGCAGGGUGUGGGCUUUUUAGUGUCUCUGUUAUGAUUCCC